AGCCCAGAGCCUGAAUCAGUGUGUGUGUUAGUGGAAGCGUCUGGAAAGGCGCGCGAUACAGGGUGACAGCCCCGUACACAAAAAUGCACAUACUGUGAGCUCGAUGAGUAGGGCGGGACACGUGGUAUCCUGUCUGAAUAUGGGGGGACCAUCCUCCAAGGCUAAAUACUCCUGACUGACCGAUAGUGAACCAGUACCGUGAGGGAAAGGCGAAAAGAACCCCGGCGAGGGGAGUGAAAAAGAACCUGAAACCGUGUACGUACAAGCAGUGGGAGCACGCUUAGGCGUGUGACUGCGUACCUUUUGUAUAAUGGGUCAGCGACUUAUAUUCUGUAGCAAGGUUAACCGAAUAGGGGAGCCGAAGGGAAACCGAGUCUUAACUGGGCGUUAAGUUGCAGGGUAUAGACCCGAAACCCGGUGAUCUAGCCAUGGGCAGGUUGAAGGUUGGGUAACACUAACUGGAGGACCGAACCGACUAAUGUUGAAAAAUUAGCGGAUGACUUGUGGCUGGGGGUGAAAGGCCAAUCAAACCGGGAGAUAGCUGGUUCUCCCCGAAAGCUAUUUAGGUAGCGCCUCGUGAAUUCAUCUCCGGGGGUAGAGCACUGUUUCGGCAAGGGGGUCAUCCCGACUUACCAACCCGAUGCAAACUGCGAAUACCGGAGAAUGUUAUCACGGGAGACACACGGCGGGUGCUAACGUCCGUCGUGAAGAGGGAAACAACCCAGACCGCCAGCUAAGGUCCCAAAGUCAUGGUUAAGUGGGAAACGAUGUGGGAAGGCCCAGACAGCCAGGAUGUUGGCUUAGAAGCAGCCAUCAUUUAAAGAAAGCGUAAUAGCUCACUGGUCGAGUCGGCCUGCGCGGAAGAUGUAACGGGGCUAAACCAUGCACCGAAGCUGCGGCAGCGACGCUGAUGCGUUGUUGGGUAGGGGAGCGUUCUGUAAGCCUGUGAAGGUGUGCUGUGAGGCAUGCUGGAGGUAUCAGAAGUGCGAAUGCUGACAUAAGUAACGAUAAAGCGGGUGAAAAGCCCGCUCGCCGGAAGACCAAGGGUUCCUGUCCAACGUUAAUCGGGGCAGGGUGAGUCGACCCCUAAGGCGAGGCCGAAAGGCGUAGUCGAUGGGAAACAGGUUAAUAUUCCUGUACUUGGUGUUACUGCGAAGGGGGGACGGAGAAGGCUAUGUUGGCCGGGCGACGGUUGUCCCGGUUUAAGCGUGUAGGCUGGUUUUCCAGGCAAAUCCGGAAAAUCAAGGCUGAGGCGUGAUGACGAGGCACUACGGUGCUGAAGCAACAAAUGCCCUGCUUCCAGGAAAAGCCUCUAAGCAUCAGGUAACAUCAAAUCGUACCCCAAACCGACACAGGUGGUCAGGUAGAGAAUACCAAGGCGCUUGAGAGAACUCGGGUGAAGGAACUAGGCAAAAUGGUGCCGUAACUUCGGGAGAAGGCACGCUGAUAUGUAGGUGAAGUCCCUCGCGGAUGGAGCUGAAAUCAGUCGAAGAUACCAGCUGGCUGCAACUGUUUAUUAAAAACACAGCACUGUGCAAACACGAAAGUGGACGUAUACGGUGUGACGCCUGCCCGGUGCCGGAAGGUUAAUUGAUGGGGUCAGCGCAAGCGAAGCUCUUGAUCGAAGCCCCGGUAAACGGCGGCCGUAACUAUAACGGUCCUAAGGUAGCGAAAUUCCUUGUCGGGUAAGUUCCGACCUGCACGAAUGGCGUAAUGAUGGCCAGGCUGUCUCCACCCGAGACUCAGUGAAAUUGAACUCGCUGUGAAGAUGCAGUGUACCCGCGGCAAGACGGAAAGACCCCGUGAACCUUUACUAUAGCUUGACACUGAACAUUGAGCCUUGAUGUGUAGGAUAGGUGGGAGGCUUAGAAGUGUGGACGCCAGUCUGCAUGGAGCCGACCUUGAAAUACCACCCUUUAAUGUUUGAUGUUCUAACGUUGACCCGUAAUCCGGGUUGCGGACAGUGUCUGGUGGGUAGUUUGACUGGGGCGGUCUCCUCCUAAAGAGUAACGGAGGAGCACGAAGGUUGGCUAAUCCUGGUCGGACAUCAGGAGGUUAGUGCAAUGGCAUAAGCCAGCUUGACUGCGAGCGUGACGGCGCGAGCAGGUGCGAAAGCAGGUCAUAGUGAUCCGGUGGUUCUGAAUGGAAGGGCCAUCGCUCAACGGAUAAAAGGUACUCCGGGGAUAACAGGCUGAUACCGCCCAAGAGUUCAUAUCGACGGCGGUGUUUGGCACCUCGAUGUCGGCUCAUCACAUCCUGGGGCUGAAGUAGGUCCCAAGGGUAUGGCUGUUCGCCAUUUAAAGUGGUACGCGAGCUGGGUUUAGAACGUCGUGAGACAGUUCGGUCCCUAUCUGCCGUGGGCGCUGGAGAACUGAGGGGGGCUGCUCCUAGUACGAGAGGACCGGAGUGGACGCAUCACUGGUGUUCGGGUUGUCAUGCCAAUGGCACUGCCCGGUAGCUAAAUGCGGAAGAGAUAAGUGCUGAAAGCAUCUAAGCACGAAACUUGCCCCGAGAUGAGUUCUCCCUGACUCCUUGAGAGUCCUGAAGGAACGUUGAAGACGACGACGUUGAUAGGCCGGGUGUGUAAGCGCAGCGAUGCGUUGAGCUAACCGGUACUAAUGAACCGUGAGGCUUAACCUU
rnacentral:rRNA from 1 species